AAAGUAAUUUUAAGAAAAAACUUCAAAUAUUACGGCUGUGAUUUCACACUUUUUUGCUUUAAUACUCUGUGGUUUGAAGUAUAUCAAUUCAGUAUCCUGUGGUUUUAUUUUUAUCUUUUUAUUAUUGAUUUCACUAAUUUUUUUUAUUAGAUCAGUGUUAAAGUUAAAACUAACUGGUACUAAAGUGAAUAUUCGAUAAAUAUAGGUGGAUAUCUGAAAUUUUUAAUACAUAAUUUAACGAAACAUUAAUGAAAAAGCUGACAAAAAAAUAAAAAUAAAACUACAAAAUACUAAAAUUUGAUACACUUUAAACUAUAUGGUACCAAAGUGAGAAAGUACGAAACUACAUGGUGGUAUUUGAAGUUUACCCUAAUUUUAAUUAU
rnacentral:lncRNA from 1 species